CCUACGGGUGGCAGCAGUCGAGAAUCAUUCACAAUGGGGGAAACCCUGAUGGUGCGACGCCGCGUGGGGGAAUGAAGGUCUUCGGAUUGUAAACCCCUGUCAUGUGGGAGCAAAUUAAAAAGAUAGUACCACAAGAGGAAGAGACGGCUAACUCUGUGCCAGCAGCCGCGGUAAUACAGAGGUCUCAAGCGUUGUUCGGAAUCACUGGGCGUAAAGCGUGCGUAGGUGGGUUCGUAAGUCGUGUGUGAAAGGCGCGGGCUCAACCCGCGGACGGCACAUGAUACUGCGAGACUAGAGUAAGGGAGGGGGAAGCGGAAUGCUCGGUGUAGCAGUGAAAUGCGUAGAUAUCGAGAGGAACACUCGUGGCGAAGGCGGGUUCCUGGACAUCAACUGACGCUGAGGCACGAAGGCCAGGGGAGCGAAAGGGAUUAGAUACCCUUGUAGUC
rnacentral:rRNA from 1 species